CCUACGGGGGGCAGCAGUGGGGAAUUUUGCACAAUGGGGGGAACCCUGAUGCAGCGACGCCGCGUGAAUGAUGAAGGCCUUCGGGUUGUAAAAUUCUGUCCUUGGUGAAGAUAAUGACUGUAACCAAGAAGCAAGCCCUGGCUAAAUACGUGCCAGCAGCCGCGGUAAUACGUAUGGGGCAAGCGUUGUCCGGAAUUAUUGGGCGUAAAGGGUACGUAGGCGGUUUACUAAGUCUGAAUUAAAAGGCAGUGGCUCAACCAUUGUAAGGUUUAGAUACUGGUAAACUUGAGUAGAUGAGGGGAAAGUGGAAUUCCUAGUGUAGCGGUGAAAUGCGUAGAUAUUAGGAGGAACACCAGUGGCGAAGGCGACUUUCUGGACUGUACCUGACGCUGAUGCGCGAAAGCGUGGGGAGCAAACAGGAUUAGAUACCCGGGUAGUC
rnacentral:rRNA from 1 species